rnacentral:rRNA from 1 species
UGAGGAAUAUUGGUCAAUGGAGGAAACUCUGAACCAGCCAAGUCGCGUGAAGGAAGAAUGUCCUAAGGAUUGUAAACUUCUUUAGCGAGCGAGUAAGGACUUCCACGUGAUGGGAGUUUGAAAGUAGCUCGAGAAUAAGUAUCGGCUAACUCCGUGCCAGCAGCCGCGGUAAUACGGAGUAUACGAGCGUUAUCCGGAUUUAUUGGGUUUAAAGGGUGCGCAGGUGGUCCUGCAAGUCAGUGGUGAAAAGCUGAGGCUCAACCUCAGCCUGGCCGUUGAAACUGCAAGACUUGAGAGUACAUGAUGUGGGCGGAAUGCGUAGUGUAGCGGUGAAAUGCAUAGAUAAUACGCAGAACUCCGAUUGCGAAGGCAGCUCACAAAGGUAUGUCUGACACUGAGGCACGAAAGCGUGGGGAGCAAACAGG